ACGGGUGCGUAACGCGUGGGAACCUGUCCUUUAGGUUCGGAAUAACUCAGAGAAAUUUGAGCUAAUACCGGAUGAUGUCUUCGGAACCAAAGUAUUUAUCGUCCUUUAGAUGGGCCCGCGUAAGAUUAGCUAGUUGGUGGGUAAAGGCCUACCAAGGCGACGAUCUUUAGCUGGUCUGAGAGGAUGAUCAGCCACACUGGGACUGAGACACGGCCCAGACUCCUACGGGAGGCAGCAGUGGGGAAUAUUGGACAAUGGGCGAAAGCCUGAUCCAGCAAUGCCGCGUGAGUGAUGAAGGCCUUAGGGUUGUAAAGCUCUUUUACCCGAGAUGAUAAUGACAGUAUCGGGAGAAUAAGCUCCGGCUAACUCCGUG
rnacentral:rRNA from 1 species